GCAGUUGCCAGCAUCGACACAUAUUAUUGGUCUAGUUUGUUAUUGUCAAUCAAUCAUGGUUGGUGCUGAAAAACUGCGACUUAAAAAGCUGAAGUCUCUGGAGGUGGAAGCUGCUAAAUGUUCAAAAUUGACAGACCUAUUUGGUGCCGGGGUUACCACCCAAGCAGGUGCUGCUGCGCCGGGAGACGAGCGAGUGGAGGCAUGUAUCAUGGUUCACCACUUGACAUGCGAGAGCCUGAGGAGUUUUCCCCCCUCCGUCCAUUUUCAAGGACUUGCUCUCUUACUGCCUCCACUUCACCACUUUUUGGCUAAUGAAACGUCUCUGAUUUGUUGAGUAUGUCAUGUGUCGUAUAAUGUUAGAUGAAUUCAUACUUGAUUUGUGAUGAUGACUUAAUAAUGUUUCCAUGUCUCUUUUAGGUUGACCACCCUAUGUAUGAGAGCCUAAGGAGUUGUUUUCCCUCUGUCCCCUUUUGAGGACCUGCUUUGUCUCCUCCAUCAUUAACUGAGCCACUUUUGGGUUCCUGAGCUGAUUUCAUGUGGUUUUCCUGACCUGCUAGAAGUUCUUCCAUGAUGCUUGAGAGAGAGAGAGAGAGAGAGAGAGAGAGAGAGAGAGAGAGAGAGAGAGAGAGAGAGAGAGAGAGAGAGAGAGAGAGAGAGAGAGAGAGAUUAAUCUUUACUUUGUGAGUUUAUUAUGCAACUUAUUUUGUCUCAGAUUCAAACAAAAGGUUUGAUUAUGAUAAUUUCCUGGUGAAAAUAUGAUGAUUUUUUAUUUCAAACAUCUGCAUAUCUUUGUGUGCAGAUGUUUGAAUGUGCACAUACACGUAUAUGAGAAUGCAUAUCUACUCAGACCUGUAAUUCAUGUCUUAGACUUUUUCACACAGCUAUAGAUAAUUAUUAUUUUUCUCUAUUUAUGGUUCCAUAAUGACUGAGUCACCGUUAAAAAAAUUUGUUUCAGCUCUAAUGCUGAUACUGUCUGUAAUAUGUUUCUAUUUAGAUUAUUUGUCAGGAUACUUUGUUAUUAUUGUCCGAGUCUGGUUUUAACUAAUGCUGGGCUUACACAAAAAUAUAUUCACAUUCACAGACUAAAAACUGAAAGGGUAGCAUAGGGUUCUUCCUGUUAGUCUCGUCCCACCCCUAGUCAUGACAUAACUUCUGUUUUCAUGUGAUGUGACUAUAAUGAAUAAAGACUGAUUGAUUGAUUGCUAUAGCGGUCAAUUUUAGUCCUUGGGGCCUAUCUUGCAUCCGGCGCAAUUUACUUUCUCACUGGCGCAUGUGUUGUUGCUAGUUAGCAACUGCCGCAGAGUGUUCUUUUCCCUCCUGCGCCACGCGUCGGUAAAUUAGGGAAUGAUCUUGCGCCCCAAGGGGUGGUUCAGCGAAAGGAGGAGGCGUGUUCUGGCGCAAAUGUUCCCUGGGGCUAUUUUGCAGAUUCAGAAAUCACUUUCGCCACAAACCAGGAAAUACCUGGUUUAAAGUCAGUGGCGCGUUGUUCAGAUGCUAUUUUAAGGGCGCAUGCAUAAUGUUGCUUGUGCACCUCGCGCAUACACUUUGCUACUCUCAUCUACCUAGCCACACCUUCUGGGUAAAUUAUUUGGGAAAGAACAGCUGAUACAGCGGUAAUAAGUUGUACUUUUAAAUCAAUGCAUCUGCAAACACCGUACUGCAAAUACAUAUUUUCUUGACACAGACAUCGUGUACAUGCCCAUAACUUUUAGGAUUGAUGAGUAUUUGAUUGUGAGAAAACAUUGUCUUAUUGCGAGUGACGGGUUAAAAAGAAUGAAUGAAUGUGGGUACGAGUGUGUGCAUGUGUACAAUUAUUAAUGAAUGCGGGCGCUCGUUUGUGCGUCCAUCUGUUUAAACACACGCAAACUAAACACGUAACGCAUAAUACAGUCCAUGGCAAAGUAUAAUAACGGGGGGACAUAUGAAUAUUAGGAACACAAGUCGAUAUCGAUAAUGCAUACAAUACUGAUAAGAAACGAUGUUUAUAAUGUAUUGUGUAUAUCAUUAAAUAGAAGCACAGUUACCGCAUAUCAUAUGUGUGUUAAGUUUUCUGAAGUUGUGGGAGAAAAGCUUAUUCCAUGUGUGAAUUAGGCCAUAUUAUUUGUCCAUAAACUGAGCCAUUUGAAGUUUGAUUUCAUGUUCAUCUGUCUCAUCGGAGACUGCAGACGUGCUGUCAAUAUAUCAACUCGUCAGAUUCAAAUGGGGAUGGGAGCUGGCACUCUCAUUGGUUUAUUGCACGUUACGCCCAAACCACACCUACGGGUAAUUAGGCUACUUCAGACCAACCCUUUUUAGAUAUGCGCCGGGCGCAAGAGUAAUUUUUGCGCCGGUAAAAUAGCGACAUCGCCAUAGAACCGCCCACAAAGUUACUUGCGCUUCGCACUUCUCACUUGCGCUUCAGACCGUUAAAAUAGGGCCCCUAGAGUUCAUAUAGUUACGUGCUUUAUUUGUUAACUGCUAUCAAGGAAUAUGACUCUCCUUUGUAGUAUGCCUGAGAGGAGUGUCUGGUGAUAAUGCAGUGGGCUGGUCUGGACAGAAAAUGCUAGGGCAGAAUUUUUGUCCCACUCCACCCCAGGCGAGCUCACACAUGUCUUCCACACACACGUGCAUAAUAUGGCGCAAUAUAACUACAGGCUGGGCCAAAGGCAAUAAAGUAAAUAGCUAAACAAGUAGAGGAGCACCAGAUGUGUGAUUGAGUGGCUUGAGAGCAUUGAAUAUUGACUUUGUUAUUACACGUAGGGGCAGGGGAGAGAGUUUCUGAAGAAAGUAA
ensembl:lncRNA